GCCUAGGUGGCGGAACUGGCAUACGCGAUGGACUCAAAAUCCAUUGCCCGCAAGGGCUUGAGGGUUCGACUCCCUCCCUAGGCACCA
rnacentral:tRNA from 1 species